rnacentral:rRNA from 1 species
UACAGAGGGUGCAAGCGUUAAUCGGAAUUACUGGGCGUAAAGGGUGCGUAGGCGGUUGUUUAAGUCUGUCGUGAAAUCCCCGGGCUCAACCUGGGAAUGGCGAUGGAUACUGGGCAGCUAGAGUGUGUCAGAGGAUGGUGGAAGUUCCCGGUGUAGCGGUGAAAUGCGUAGAUAUCGGGAGGAAUACCUAGUGGCGAAAGCAGGCUACUGGACCAUCACUGACGCUGAUCUGCGAAAGCUAGGGAGCAAACAGG